rnacentral:rRNA from 1 species
AUGCAUCCACUCUUCUGUUCUUCUGCCUCCAACAGCAUGAGCAGCAACAAGUUCUCGACGCCCAUCCAUGGCCUUGCCCUCGUUCUGCUGAUCACCUCCUUGGCCUCUACCACCAGCUCCUGUAGAGAGCAGGAAAAAACCUCCCUCCUUCGGUUCCUGGCCGGGCUCACUCAGGACGGUGGUCUCGCUGCGUCAUGGCGGAAUGGCACAGACUGCUGCACAUGGGAAGGCAUCACCUGCAGUACCGUGGAUGGCAUGAUUGAAGAAGUCUCGCUAGCCGAUAGAAGGCUCGAAGGGCGCAUAUCGCCGUCCCUAGGCAGCCUCGCUAGCCUGUCACGCCUGAACCUCUCCCACAACUCCUUGUCUGGGGAGGCACUGUUGUCGUCUCACAGCAUCGCCGUCCUCGACGUGAGCUUCAACCGGCUCAGCUGGAACCUGCCACAAGAGCAACCGUCUUCUUCAGCUCUUGACCGCCGACAUAUGCAGAUGCAGGUGAUCAACAUCUCAAGCAACUCCUUCACAGGGCAACUUUCACCAGCCACAUGGGGAAUGAUGGAGAAUCUGGUUGUGCUCAAUGCCAGCAACAACAGUUUCACAGGAUCAAUCCCAUCUUUCUUGUGCCAGAGCGCGCCGUUCCUAACCGUGCUUGACAUGUCCUACAAUAAAUUCAGUGGCAGUGUUAGGCCAGAGCUUGGUAAGUGUUCUAUGCUACGGUCGCUGAAGGCUGGCCGCAACAACCUCACCGGGACUCUCCCAGAUGAGCUCUUCAAUGUCACCUCAUUGCGACACCUCUGUCUUCCCAGCAAUGGGCUACAUGGAGCACUUGAUCCUGCACUGAUAAUCAAACUCAUCAACCUGGUUGUCCUCGACCUUGGAUGGAAUAUGAUCAGUGGUAACAUCCCAGAUUCCAUAGGACAGCUCAAGGGACUCAAGGAGCUCAGAUUAGAACACAACAGCAUGUCUGGGGAGCUGCCAUCGGCUCUCGGCGACUGCAGAAGUCUUGUAACCAUGAACCUCAACAACAAUGACUUCAGUGGGGAGCUUGGCAAGAUCAAUUUUUCCACCCUCUCCAAUCUGAAAACCUUGAAUGUUGGGUGGAACAACUUCACUGGCAUAAUUCCAGAGAGCGUCUACUUGUGCAGCAAACUGACUGUGUUACAGCUAUCUUUCAAUAAGUUACGUGGCCAGCUCUCGCCCAGAGCGCGUCACCUGAAGUCCCUAACCGUCCUAUCACUUGCUGGAAACAAUUUCACAAAUAUUAAGAGCGCACUUCAGAUCCUCAAGAGUUCUAGUGAUCUCACCACCUUGCUUAUUGGGAGCAACUUCAGAAAUGAGGAAAUACCAGGGGAUGAAACAAUUGAUGGUUUUGAGAAUAUUAAGGUUCUUGCCAUGGAAGAUUGCCAGUUGUUUGGGAAGAUCCCUCUUUGGAUAACAAAUAUCAGAGAUCUGGAGAUGUUAUUCUUGUUUAAUAAUGAGCUAACCGGAUCUAUUCCAGUUGGAAUCGGCACCUUAAACUUCCUAUUCUACAUAGACCUAUCAAACAACGGCCUUACGGGGGAGAUUCCAGCAGGCUUAAUGGAGAUGCCAAUGCUGAGAUCAGAUACAAUCACGACAAGUUUAGACCCAAAGGGCUCUGAGCUGCCUACUUACAGCGGUCCUUCACCUCAAUACUACACUCUAGGUGCAUUCCCAGCAUUGAUGAAUCUAGGCAACAACAACUUAACAGGUGUGAUACCCCCAGAGAUUGGACAGUUAAAGGCACUUGUGUCACUCAUCUUGGGCUUCAACAGAUUGUCUGGAGAGAUCCCACGAGCAAUCUCUAAUCUCACAAACCUGGAGGCGCUAGAUCUGUCAAACAAUCAUCUCACCGGUACCAUUCCAGGCGCACUGAAUAAUCUACACUUCCUUUCUAGAUUCAACAUUUCCAAUAAUGACCUGGAAGGGUCUGUUCCACAUGGAGGCCAGUUCGAUACCUUUCCGAGCACGAGCUUUGAUGGAAACUCAAAGGUUAUUUUCCGAGCCACGACACUGAUCCGUUCGUGGUCGCUACUCACUCAGACGGAGGCCAGGGAGCAUUUGGUUACUGGAUCUCUCCGCUGGGAGAUGGUAGCUCGGGAUAUCUUCAACCGGUUUGGAUGGCGGUCAUGUAAUAGGAUAGGCAAUUAG